rnacentral:rRNA from 1 species
UACGUAGGGACCAAGCGUUGUUCGGAUUUACUGGGCGUAAAGGGCGCGUAGGCGGCAUGGCAAGUCACUUGUGAAAUCUCCGGGCUUAACUCGGAACGGCCAAGCGAUACUGCCACGCUAGAGUGCAGAAAGGGCAAUCGGAAUUCUUGGUGUAGCGGUGAAAUGCGUAGAUAUCAAGAGGAACACCUGAGGCGAAGGCGGGUUGCUAGGCUGACACUGACGCUGACAGCGCGAAAGCCAGGGGAGCAAACGGG